GCCAUGGCACCAGUGACUAGUCAACAGCAUAGCAUCAAUGGCCAGGCGGAUGCAUGUCUAUGCCAACAAGGAACACACACAUGCAGCAGUAGGGUGCCGAUGUAUACAGUUUAAUGGAUUCAUUCAUGUUUGUACAAUAGAGACAGCAAAAAACAUCUGCAUAGGUACUGAUGUAUACAGUUUAAUGGAUUCAUUCAUGUUUGUACAAUAGAGACAGCAAAAAAACAUCUGCAAAGUAAGC